UACGUAGGCAGCAAGCGUUGUUCGGAGUUACUGGGCGUAAAGAGUGCGUAGGUAGUGCCCUAAGUCUGUUGUGAAAUCUCCCGGCUUAACUGGGAGGGUGCGGUGGAAACUGGGGUGCUUGAGUGUGGGAGAGGUAAGCGGAAUUCCUGGUGUAGCGGUGAAAUGCGUAGAUAUCAGGAGGAACACCGGUGGUGUAGACGGCUUACUGGACCACGACUGACACUGAGGCACGAAAGCGUGGGUAGCAAACAGG
rnacentral:rRNA from 1 species